AUUGAACGCUGGCGGCAGGCCUAACACAUGCAAGUCGAGCGAGCGGCGGACGGGUGAGUAAUGUCUGGGAAACUGCCUGAUGGAGGGGGAUAACUACUGGAAACGGUAGCUAAUACCGCAUACCAUCAGAUGUGUCCAGCGGGGAUUAGCUAGUAGGUGGGGUAACGGCUCACCUAGGCGACGAUCCCUAGCUGGGCUGAGAGGAUGACCAGCCAAACGGGAACUGAGACACGGUCCAGACUCCUACGGGAGGCAGCAGUGGGGAAUAUUGCACAAUGGGCGCAAGCCUGAUGCAGCCAUGCCGCGUGUGUGAAGAAGGCCUUCGGGUUGUAAAGCACUUUCAGCGGGGAGGCGUUACCCGAAGAAGAAGCACCGGCUAACUCCGUGCCAGCAGCCGCGGUAAUUC
rnacentral:rRNA from 1 species